GCCUCUGCAACUGCAAAGAAAAAAAAAGAGGUACUAAUAUUUUCACAAAGAAAAAAAGAGGUACUACGAUUGCAAAGGAGAGAAGCUCUAGUGAGCCUCUGCAACUGUAACUAGGCUCCUGACAAGCUUGAGUUGAUAGUAGGCACCUAAAGUGUAUGUUUGGAUGAUCAACAACUUUAGGCUAUCUUCAAGGGAGUUCCUCUGUUUUCCCUUUGCUACAGUGUAUCCAGGUGAGUGAGAGGGCGAAUUGACUUUUUCCUCCGUCGAUCCACCGGCCCCCUCUCCUCCGGCGUCCUCGCCGGCGACGGAGAUGAGAGGGGUGCCCGGCACCUCGGCAUGAGGACCUGUAUAGCUGUAGGUCUAGACCUUAGUGCUUGUAGGUCCCGCCGGCGACUUGUACAUCGCCGGUUAGGGUUAGGUGUUCCCCUUCACUUCUCCGGCGGCGGUGGCGGCGACGGCGUCGUCUCCGGCGAGGAUCGAAGGCGGAUAGUUCUCCUCCAGGCGGGUGCCGGCGUUGACGUCUUCGCUGCUUGAUGGAGGCGACGACGGAUCUUCCGCCCCUACCCCUGUUGGCUGCUACUGCAGCUGAUGUGGUCGUGUGUCUUUUGCUCCUCUUGGGUGGUUCUUCUUCCUUCUAUGCGAAAGGGGGAAGAUGGCUUGUCCCUGCAGUAGGCUUUGAUUCCGGGUUGCCUGAUGCGACAACCGCGGAGCUUGUUCCGGUCGUCGGCUUGUUGGUUGACGGCGGCGGAAGGAUUUCCUUUUCUUUCUCCGUCGAUGGGGCUGUCGAUGUUCGUUCAACGAUCUCGGUUCGCCGUGCUUUUGCGGUGACGGCUCUUGCGACCUGUCCAAUUGCGUGGGGUCCCAUGACGGAGAGGAAGAUGGAUGCGGCGGCUGCGCUCUGGCAUUUCUGCGUCGAGCAUCGGCCAUGGAGAAGACGACGGAAGCAUCGCCGGGUGUGUGCGUGAUUUUCUUAUGUACCGGGGUGUUUCCUGCAAUUUGGCAGGGAUGUACUGUUCACCAUCAUAAUACAGUUCUCCCUUUCGCAAAAAAAAAA